AAAAUUACAUAAAAGGUAAAAAAUGUCAGAAUGUUACUUAUUAAGUGAAGACAAAAUUGUGUUUUUCAUGCUAAAGAUUCAGUCGGAUUGAUCAAAUGUGCUGAAUUGAGAAUUAAAAUCAUGACAUAUUCGGCGGAAUUGUUCGUUUAACUCAAAAUUUGUGCUAAUAGUUUUUAAAAGUAAUGGUCUAAACUGCCUAGAUGAACGAAAUGGAACAUUGAACUCAAUUUCAGACAAAAGGAAUGAACUACAAACUGAACCAUUCAGAAGUUUUACUAGGAAUAUUAUGUCUAGAAUUUCUCAACGACGAGCGUAGUGCAAAUGACCUAAAGCGAAAAACAUAAAACCGCGUCCUUCAAAAAAAAAAAACAAGGAAGGAAGUCAAAAAGCACUGUAUAUGCAACAUAUUUUAAUACUAAUUUUAACAAAUGCCAACAUUUGCUUCCAAUCUCCUAAAUUUUUAGGUCCUUCCAAUUUGUGAGUGUAUAAAAUCUUCACAAUGACCUACAAAUUUAAAAAAUGCUUUGCUUGGUUUUUUGAGCAGUUUUUCAAAUCCAUCGACAACCGGAAUACUUUCUUAUUCCAAUGUGACCACAGGCCGGAAAAGUUAUUCACUCACAAAGGACGCCACGGCAUAAUUUUGGUUGAUAUUCAAUAUUAAACUUUAUAUCAUUGCAAUGCUAAGUUAAUUUUGCAUGUUUUACAACAAUUUGAUAGGAGUAUUUGAUGACAUAAAUGUACAUGUAAAGCGGGCAGAAAGUACGUAUCAUCGUUGAAUAGCAGAAUAAUCAAUUCCUUGAAUAGAAAACAAUUACCCGGAUCUGAUCCCAAUAAUACGAUGGAUGCUGCAUCCUUAACUCUCAGACAGUUUUAAUACCAAAAUGCUAUGAAAUAAAUCGUUAAAUGUAUGUAUUGUUCUCUCUUCGAUUAUCCGAUAUAUGCAAUGUUUAUUGAUCUAGAAAUAUAGUGACUGUGUAAGGUGGUCCACUAGUGUUAACAAACGGCUAAUUUGGGUACUCUAAGUGGCGAGGGAUCCAUUAGGACAUUUCCUUAAUGGAGAAGCGCUAUCAAAUGAAAUGGUGCGCAGAGAUGCUAGCAAUUUAUUGAAGCCAAAUAUUCACGAAUCAUAAGUAUUUUUUCUUAAUUAAGUAAAAAUUUCCUCACAAUAAAACCUGACGUGUAAAUUUUUUUCCAUUCAUAUAUUAUUGUUUAGUGCCCCGUAGUAAAUACAUUCAAAAUUUGAUACGAGUCUUCAUGUGACAAAAAAUGGUUAAAAUUUUGUUAGUGUAAUUAUAGUUAUUUUAGAUAAAUUCAAAAAUAAUUCCAUUCCCACUAUUUGCAAUAAGUGGGUGUAAACUUUGUAUAAAAUAUUCACAAAUACUAUACCAAAAAUAUGAAUAUCAAAAAUAAAAUGUACAUAUGUAGAUAAUAAAUUUCCGGCGACACAAGUACGGUAGUCUUAAAUUCGGUUAACAUUUUAAACUAGAUACACUAGAUAGUUAUCGGUAUACAUAAAAAGAGUGUUAUAUUUCAAGUUUGAUAGUUAUUAACGACAAAUAAAUACAUACAUAUAAAGAAGGCACAUAAAUUUUAUGAAACAAUUUUAAACAAAUUUAUGGAAAAUUAUUUUUCAUGUUGUG